ACGAACGCUGGCGGCACGCUUAACACAUGCAAGUCGAACGAGAGAAGAGGAGCUUGCUUUUCUGAUCUAGUGGCGGACGGGUGAGUAACACGUGAGCAAUCUGCCUUUCAGAGGGGGAUACCGAUUGGAAACGAUCGUUAAUACCGCAUAACAUAAUUGAACCGCAUGAUUUGAUUAUCAAAGAUUUAUCGCUGAAAGAUGAGCUCGCGUCUGAUUAGCUAGUUGGUAAGGUAACGGCUUACCAAGGCGACGAUCAGUAGCCGGACUGAGAGGUUGAUCGGCCACAUUGGGACUGAGACACGGCCCAGACUCCUACGGGAGGCAGCAGUGGGGAAUAUUGCACAAUGGAGGAAACUCUGAUGCAGCGAUGCCGCGUGAGGGAAGAAGGUUUUAGGAUUGUAAACCUCUGUCUUCAGGGACGAAAAAAGACGGUACCUGAGGAGGAAGCUCCGGCUAACUACGUGCCAGCAGCCGCGGUAAUACGUAGGGAGCGAGCGUUGUCCGGAAUUACUGGGUGUAAAGGGAGCGUAGGCGGGAUCGCAAGUCAGAUGUGAAAACUAUGGGCUUAACCCAUAAACUGCAUUUGAAACUGUGGUUCUUGAGUGAAGUAGAGGUAAGCGGAAUUCCUAGUGUAGCGGUGAAAUGCGUAGAUAUUAGGAGGAACAUCAGUGGCGAAGGCGGCUUACUGGGCUUUAACUGACGCUGAGGCUCGAAAGCGUGGGGAGCAAACAGGAUUAGAUACCCUGGUAGUCCACGCCGUAAACGAUGAUUACUAGGUGUGGGGGGACUGACCCCUUCCGUGCCGCAGCAAACGCAAUAAGUAAUCCACCUGGGGAGUACGACCGCAAGGUUGAAACUCAAAGGAAUUGACGGGGGCCCGCACAAGCAGUGGAGUAUGUGGAUUAAUUCGAAGCAACGCGAAGAACCUUACCAGGUCUUGACAUCGUAUGCAUAGCUCAGAGAUGAGUGAAAUCUCUUCGGAGACAUAUAGACAGGUGGUGCAUGGUUGUCGUCAGCUCGUGUCGUGAGAUGUUGGGUUAAGUCCCGCAACGAGCGCAACCCUUACUGUUAGUUGCUACGCAAGAGCACUCUAGCAGGACUGCCGUUGACAAAACGGAGGAAGGUGGGGAUGACGUCAAAUCAUCAUGCCCCUUAUGACCUGGGCCUCACACGUACUACAAUGGCUGUCAACAGAGGGAUGCAAAGCCGCGAGGUGGAGCGAACCCCUAAAAGCAGUCUUAGUUCGGAUUGUAGGCUGCAACCCGCCUACAUGAAGUCGGGAUUGCUAGUAAUCGCAGAUCAGCAUGCUGCGGUGAAUACGUUCCCGGGCCUUGUACACACCGCCCGUCACGCCAUGGGAGUCGGUAACACCCGAAGCCUGUAGUCUAACCGCAAGGAGGACGCAGUCGAAGGUGGGAUUGAUGACUGGGGUG
rnacentral:rRNA from 1 species